rnacentral:rRNA from 1 species
CCUACGGGCGGCUGCAGUGGGGAAUAUUGGACAAUGGGCGAAAGCCUGAUCCAGCCAUGCCGCGUGUGUGAAGAAGGCCUUCGGGUUGUAAAGCACUUUCAGUGGGGAAGAAAGCCUUGGGGCUAAUACCCUCGAGGAAGGACAUCACCCACAGAAGAAGCACCGGCUAACUCCGUGCCAGCAGCCGCGGUAAUACGGAGGGUGCGAGCGUUAAUCGGAAUUACUGGGCGUAAAGCGCACGUAGGCGGUCUGAUAAGCCGGUUGUGAAAGCCCCGGGCUCAACCUGGGAACGGCAUCCGGAACUGUCAGGCUAGAGUGCAGGAGAGGAAGGUAGAAUUCCCGGUGUAGCGGUGAAAUGCGUAGAGAUCGGGAGGAAUACCAGUGGCGAAGGCGGCCUUCUGGACUGACACUGACGCUGAGGUGCGAAAGCGUGGGUAGCAAACAGGAUUAGAUACCCCAGUAGUC